AUGCCUAAAUUAAUAGUCACAUUUUUAUAAUAUGCACAAUGAGAACCAAAUGCUCUAUUAUGUUGAUUUCUCAUAACUUUCCCCAUUUCAUAGUGCUGGAUAGACACAAGGAAAAGCACGUGACAGCUGUCAGUUUCCACAGCGUCUCAGAGCACACUCAGGGCCGUCAUUACCGAAAGGGGAAAGUGACAAAAUAUUCGCUGGCUCAAGUUCAGGAGAUGUUUCAGCUCCAUGUGUCUGAAUGGCCGUCCCUGAAUAUCUGGCUUGUGAGGUCAUCUGGCUACAGGCCCCCCUCUGUCACAGGGUGCAUGUAAUAAAACUCUCAGAGAUCAGAUAGAGCCUGUUCAGACAAGUCGCUCUGUGUUGGCUUUAAUAAAGCAACAGGGAGAGCCUGUAUUCCCAAAGAAUGGAGGAUUAUUAAGACAUUCUCGGCUUUGGGAAUAGCCAUUUACAGAUAGAUGGGGCUGAUGGCUGCCACCAGGUACAAAUAAUUUAAAGCCUCAAGUGCCCAGAACUUGCCACACAAUCAAGUCCCACCCUACACUUACCCACAGUGAUGCUUGUGACUUCAAAGGCACAGUAAGUCAGUGAACAGAAAGUGGGCCCUGCAGGUGCAUUGGUGGUCCUGGCCAGUGUUAAAUUCCACCCCCCUGCUCAUGAGCGCUGGGACAGACUUCGGAAUGGUGGUCUUCAUUUGUUAAUUCUAAAGUUAGGCCUCUAUGUGUUGUUUCAGAAAUAACGCUUCCAUCGUUCUGUGGAGACUUUGCUCAAACAGGACUCAUACUUAGACCACAUGUAAAUUUGCAUACUGAUUGCUUGAGUGUUGACAGAGAAUUUGGCAUAAUGCCUUGCAAAGCCAAUGGAUCACAGAAAAGUUGCUUUUCAUCCUCAGCGUGGGUAGAAUGUAGACAUGAGAUGGAACAUGCCUUCGAAGAACCUUUUUCUAAAGCACUGCUGGGGAGAAACAGAGUUGAAGGAAAAUCCAACACGUGACUGGAAUACAUUAGGUAGCUUAUUCGACCUCAUAAUCAAAAGCAGUUGUCACUUGAUUGACAAAGACCAAGAAGGAAGUUACUUUGUUCCACCCCUUGAGUGCUUUGAAGUCACAAUCACCUAUACCUGCAGGUAAAUCUUCAACAAAGACUGCAAGUUUGAAGAUAUUUUAAUUAUGAAUUAAUUUUUUGUUUUAAAUUCAUGUCAUUUGAGAAUGGAGAAUGGGAACCAAGGAGAUGAAUGGAAAACAUGAACUUAAUAUAAAGUAAGUUAAUGAAGCGCACGGUGAAUUUGAUUCAUAAAUAUUUCAUAAUCCCAAUGCUAGUGGCUUCUUAAAAUUGUGACUUAUGAUUCCAAUGGAGGUAAAAUAUACAUUCAUGCAGAGUGAGCUAAAUUUACCGUGGGUAAAUUUCAUCUAUAUUUCUCAGAGUUAGUGAUAUAAAAUUCUUGCCCUCCUGUAACUUCCCAUCUAGACAAUAGAAGUAAACAUGAGUAACUAUUACCACCCCCCCCCCCAAGAAAAAACACAUGACACUUCACUGGCCAGUAUAUUUUUAUUGCCUUGAAUUCAUCUUGUCUUUUCAUCUUAUAUUUCUGAUGCUUUGAUAUCUUGGAGUCCCACUAACUGGAGGGACUCGAUCUCCCAGGGCUUUGGUAAUCCUAAGGAUAACAAAGAACUAACCUCUGAGUGUGCCUUUCUUAUGCCUCCCAAGCAUUCCAGGUCUCAUAACCCCAAAUGCCUUCUUUAUUGAGCUCUUAUAUGCUAGGCCAUUAUUCCUCAGUUGUCUGUUAGCCUGUUUUCAAACCUUCUGUAUAGGUACUGAUAUUUUGACUUCAUGUUCCUGAGAGAGGUAGGUUAAGAAACUGAACUAUAACUGCAAACUUAGUUCUCCAUUUAGUUGUGCCAAUUUUUACUCUAUGAACUUUGAGGUGUUAUUACUCUAUUGUUGUAUUUCUUGCUUGAUCCUUUCACUGUUAUAAAAUAUUUGUCAAUCUCUGGGACUCUUAUAUUUCUUAAAGUUUAAGUAUAUUGCAGUGGUUUGAAUGGCCCCACCAAAACUCACAUUGCAAUUUAAACUUCACUGUAAGGUAUUAAAAGGUGGCACCAGGCAUGAUUUUUUUUUUUUUUUUGACAGAGUGCAUAGUGAGAGAGAGACACAGAGAGAAAGGUCUUCCUUUUGCCAUUGGUUCACCCUCCAAUGGCCGCCACGGCUGGCACGCUGCAGCUGGCGCACCGCACUGAUCCGAAGGCAGGAGCCAGGUGCUUCUGGUUUCCCAUGGGGUGCAGGGCCCAAGCACUUGGGCCAUCCUCCACUGCCUUCCUGGGCCACAGCAGAGAGCUGGCCUGGAAGAGGGGCAACCGGGACAGAAUCCAGCGCCCCGACCUAGACUAGAACCCAGUGUGCCGGCGCCGCUAGGUGGAGGAUUAGCCUAUUGAGCUGCGGCGCCGGCCAACCAGGCAUGAUUUUUAAAAGGUGAUUAGGACAUGAGGAUCUGCCCUCAGUGAUGGAUUAAUUCAUUUGGUGGGUUAAUGAGUUAUGGAGGAGAAAGAAUCCACCAGCCUCGUCUACCUUGACACGCUCCUGGUCUGCAGGUCAUCCUGCUCGUGUCUGGAACUGUGUUAGUUCUGCUGUUCGCUGGCUGCAGAUGGAGAUGUCCUUUCAAAUUCCCUUUGAAGCUUCAAAGCAUACCUCUUUACAGCCAGAAGCAGUAUUACGAGCUCAUAAAACAACUAGGAGAUGCACGCGUGGCAGAUUCUAUCUCAGGGCUCCCUUUGCUGCUGGAGAGAGCUGUUCAAACAUAGAUAAAGACCUCUUGCUCUUCGUGGCCUUGACCAUCUUAGCACUGUGCUUCUGUGGUGGUUAUCAGUUCCUGAAAUUGAUUCAGUAUCAGGCUGUUCCUUAAUGUCUGUGAAACUAUGCAGGUUACCUCGCCUUCUGCACUUGGGCCUCUUUAUCAAAAAGUGGGAUAAUAGGAAUUCGUAUCUCCUCAGCUUUCUGUAAAGAUUUGCGCGAUCAUCUCCAUAAAGCACUUGGCAUGUGAUAGGUUCUGUGAUCAGUAGUUGUUGUCAUUGCCUUUACAACUCGGCAGGAAAAAUUAAGAGUUUUAUAAAUGUCACACCCUAGGCAAUUCGGAGAUAAUGAAAUGUUCUGUAAGUGCUGAUAGGACUGAGGUACCUGGAAACUGCAGUACUUUGUUAGCAUGGACAAGUUUUCAAGUCAUGUUUGAGAAAGGAAAUUUUAAACAGAAUCAAAUUACAUAUUUAUUUUUUAUUCCAUAGCAGUUACUUUUUCCAAAAAGGAUUUGAAGUAACCAAAAUAGAACUAUGUAUAAUGCAACAAAAUGUAAAAUUAGACAUGGAAAAGAAAUUUAAAAAUAAAGGGAAAGAAAUCAGUGUAUAUAGUUCAUAACCUCGUGCAAAAUUUGGAAUGGAAUCCCAAACAUCUGAUAUCAGAUACACUUCAUCUGUGCGUGAGCCCAGAGAAUGGAGGCCAGACUGAACAUCUGAAGCAGAAAGGAAGAGAUCAGAACUUUCCAUAAUUUGUGUCUAUUGCCAACUGUUAUGAAAGUAUCCAUGGUUUAAGAGGAAGUCUUCUAUAGAGAAAUAAUUACAUGCUUUACAUUCUUCUUUGAAGAUGGCCAGAUGACACCUUCCAGCCUCCCAAGGACAUGAACGAUUCCUCCAUCUUGAGGAGCCUGGAGGAUCCCAAGGCACUACAUAACCCAAGUUUGUUGAGUAUUAGGCAUUUGCUGGGUUUCCUAACACCUCCAUUUUUUUUUUUUAACACUCAGUGCUUAUUGGAUUCCUGCCACAUGAAUCCCGUGUUUCCAGAAUAGGAAAGCUGUCUUUCCUGCAUCUCUCAAUGCUCAUCGGACCCAGACUUCACCAGUUUGGAGGGUUUGUGUCAAAAGCAACAAUGUUUUCCCACUUUCCUGCCUGCAUUUGAGGCUCUACCAGACACAAGUGAUGCUGACUGACUCCUUUGAUGCGGCCGGCUCUGAACAGAGAGACUUGGAACGCUCUGAUUUAGGUGGGCUUCGUUUAUUUCCACACCGCCAGGGAAUGUUGCUGUAGGUAGCGUACUGAUGAGCGCUGUGAUGCCUGUGCGUUGCAGAGCCCCCGCUCUGUUUCUACCACUAUUGCAGGGGAGCCCCACUCUUCCACAGAGUCCUGUCUGCCCUAAACUUGUGAGUGAAAAGUGGUGGAUUCUGUGCACAUUCAGGGAGAAGCAUUCGGCCCUUUUGUGUGUUCCUCUUCCUAUACUAUUUUCACAGUACAGGAUUCUAAAAUGAAAAAAUAUUAUGCUUUAAGGUCAUAGAGGUUAAGUGUAAUAUAAAGCAGCCUAAUACAAAGACAGUCACAACAAAUCCUAUUGCAUUAAAGAAUAGAUUUAGUAGAGCUUCGCAAUGCAUGUGGUAACAUUUUAAUUUUCAAAAUUCAUUCUCCUUUAAAAAGGAGAUUUUAUAAUAUCUGUUUUCAAAAUAGUUUAGAUUAUUUUUCUCUCCAAAUGUAUUUAUGUUCCCAUAAGGUAUCACAUGAAACAUUUACAGUUAAUUUUCUGGAGUUGCAUUUGAGUUGUUCUGCAGUUGUCUGGAAAUUGCUUGAUAUAAUGUGAAGAACUUAGAAACUGGAAAUCAUCCCGUUGUUCUUAGCCUAAAGAGUCAGAGAUAACAUUUCUAGGUAGACCUUCUACCUAAGCAAAAUUAGUUCUUCAAAUUUCUGCAUCCUACAUACCCUUUUCAUUCCUUUCUUUCUCUGUUUUUCUAAAUAGUUACCAAAAAGGUGUUGAAUUUAUGGUAAGAUUAUGGACAAGAUUAUCAUUCAAAGCCAAAAAAUCCAGUAUUCCUUCAGUGGCCUUUUUUGCCCUUAAUUUUUUUCUUUAUUUUUUUUUCUUGCUUAAAAUGUCAUCUCAUUCCUGGGUUUCAUUCAUUCUAAAGCACAUUUUUCCCCCCAUUUUAACAUAUGUCAGAUAUAUACGAUUUGUAAUUAAUGGAAAGUCCUGGUUUAUUUGUGUGUGUGUGCUUUUUUUUAUUUUCUGGCAAUACACAAAAUAAUGGUUUAUGUGACAAGUGGUACAUCGUAAGUCCAAUAUAUGGCCAUAGAUUUUUUUGAGCAUUAUUUUCUGAGUGAACUGUCUGAUACAGGUACAGUGGUGAGAUGCCAGGUGAACUAGGACAGGCGGCUCCUGACUGAGCACACGGGCUUGUAACGUACUGCACUAAGCUCUCGGGUUCAUCUUGGUGGGGAGAGCAGCGAGGUCACGGGGUCAGCAUCUCUUUCUUUCAGUUCUUUUUUUCUUAAGCAGAUGGUCCCUGUGAAUAAGCUCUCCUCAGAAGAGUGAUGUGUUACAAAACCAAAUAAAACCAAAUUUUGGAAAUCAGUAACCAGGGGAGUUUGAUUCUACCUACAGCACAGUCAAAAUAAAGGCUCCUAUUCAAGGUCCUGUUGCAAGAGAGGUUGUGAACUCCAGCCUUUACAGGUACUCACAACGCCUUUGGAAAAGAACAAGAACCAGCAGUAUGGAAUUCAAAAUUCAUAAAACUUCACUAUGAGGCAUUGUAAAAACUGUAGAAGAUGUUUUAAAAGUUACCUUCAUAUCAAUAACACUUAUGUUAGUGAGAUAUUGAUACAAAUCCAUCUCUACCUCUGGGUUUGUUCACUUCCCUCUGAAGCCAACUGCCUUCCCCAUUAACAUUGUCCCGACUGUAAGCCUUUCUUCCAUCAGUGGCUCUCAGUGGAAUUGCUCCACGUAUAGGAUAUUUGAAACAGUUCAGGGGACAUCAUGAUGUUUUGUUACCUGGAUGUGGGGAAGGGAGUGUGCUUCAGGAACCUGGUGGUUUUUCCUUGUUUUUUUUUUUUGUUUGUUUGUUUGUUUGUUUUUGUUUUGUUUGUUUGUUUGUUUGUUUUUUAUUUCCUUUGGAGAACGUCUUGUAUCUUCUCUCUCAGUUCUCAUCGUUCGAGUGGACCUAUCUCCUAGAUUCAUAUACGAGCAUGUGAUCUAAACCUAAGCUAAGCAGCAUUCAUUUCCUUUUGGCUCAGGGAAAGGGCAGGUGACCCAAUUUGGGUCAACAAAAGGUAGGCCCUUUUACAAACUGUUGGGAAUAGAAGAGAUAUCUUUCCUCUUUAUUCCACAUUUGCAUGUGGAUGUGGGAGGAUUUAGAUGGACUGAUAGGUGAUGAUGUAGGGGUUGGAAUUAAAUCUUGCACAGGGUAAAGGGAAGGAGGAGGGAGGGAACAGAAGCAGGAAUAGCAAAAACUGAAGUAUGACAAUCUUCAAGCAUUUGGGUCUGGUCUUCCUGGAACUACCUGACUUCCCUGGUACAUGCUACUGACUUGUAUAAUAUAAUAUUGCUUUUAUAGUGAGUAAAUUUUGGUAUUGGGUUUCCUAUUAUGAGGAAUUUUUUUUUUCCAUUUUAGCGUUAUGAGUAUUGUAUCUCAAGAAGCACCUAAUUCUGGGGGAAGCUGGGACAGCUGCUCACUCCGUCUGCCAACAACAGAGCCCUUCCUGAUGCAGAUGUGUGCAAUUCAGGAUUACGUAAAAUGCUGAACUACGUGUUUCCUGAUACAAUUUGAUGUAAGAAAUAAGAGAGUAGAACAGAAACAAAAAGAGUAGAACAAAGUCAAGGCUUGAAAGAAAAUUAGACUUUUCAUGGGAACCGCUGAGGACUUCGCCACUGAGGAUCUACAAUGAUGGGGCCAAGGCAGUACUGAGCAGGAGCUGAAGUGUUAACCAAGGAAUAGUGCCAGUCCUAUGAAUGUGUCUGCAUAUAACGGUAGACAUUUUUACCUGUAUUAUGUCAUUGUAAUUAUGGAUGACUUGCUGUAGAGUUAGUUUGCAUAUUUUCAAUAAGCCAUUAAAAAUGUGGUUUAAUGACAAAGGGUAAGGAUGAUUGGUUUGACACUUAACACAUUCCCCCUUGAAUUAUAAUUUAUAUGCAGACUUACUUUCCCUAAAAUCCUCAAGGACAGGAUUAAAGUUUGCUUGUCUGUGUUUUCCCCCCACACAGUGCAAUUUGAACAUGGUUUGCAGUCAAAUAUUUUUGAAACAAAUAAAUCUGAACCCUCUUAGGGCACAAGAGUUUUACUUAUAGAAUUGAAAAUUUUUAAAUUAAAAUAUUUCACUGACUAUGGAUUUUUUCCAAUCAGUAAGUCCUAGUGAUGGUGUGACGUGGCUGGAUUGCAUUUCAAGGGUUGGAAUUAUCUACUGAGAACGAGAAGCUGCAGAUCAUUUUUCAGCAUUUGGUUCUUACUGUGCUGAGAUUUGUGUCUGCAACAAAGAAGCAUUUGAGAAGUGGUAGAUUUUUUUUAUGUUAGUGGGGGUGAGAAGUGUUAGGAAAGGAAUUAUAAUGAGAUUUCUUUUUUUGGAAAGAGGAAAAUAAAUAUGGUUGGAGAUCCAGAGAGGAAGAGAGAAAUAUGUCACUCUAUAAAAAGUCAAAGAUCUUUCUUUCUAUACUUAUCAGGGCCAAUGGAUGAGUCUAAAUCUGAAAAUCAGAGUGGAAGGCUAUUUUACUCUUUUCUUUACUGGAAUUUGAAUCAGUAAUAUGGAACUCUUGUGUCUGACCUUAUGUGACAUUUGGAUUGAAGAGUUCCAGGCUACUAUAUACAUACACCCAG